UAACACUAACUGGAGGACCGAACCGACUAAUGUUGAAAAAUUAGCGGAUGACCUGUGGCUGGGGGUGAAAGGCCAAUCAAACCGGGAGAUAGCUGGUUCUCCCCGAAAGCUAUUUAGGUAGCGCCUCGUGAAUUCAUCUCCGGGGGUAGAGCACUGUUUCGGCUAGGGGGCCAUCCCGGCUUACCAACCCGAUGCAAACUGCGAAUACCGGAGAAUGUUAUCACGGGAGACACACGGCGGGUGCUAACGUCCGUCGUGAAGAGGGAAACAACCCAGACCGCCAGCUAAGGUCCCAAAGUCAUGGUUAAGUGGGAAACGAUGUGGGAAGGCCCAGACAGCCAGGAUGUUGGCUUAGAAGCAGCCAUCAUUUAAAGAAAGCGUAAUAGCUCACUGGUCGAGUCGGCCUGCGCGGAAGAUGUAACGGGGCUAAACCAUGCACCGAAGCUGCGGCAGCGACGCUGAUGCGUUGUUGGGUAGGGGAGCGUUCUGUAAGCCUGCGAAGGUGGCCUGUGAGGGUUGCUGGAGGUAUCAGAAGUGCGAAUGCUGACAUAAGUAACGAUAAAGCGGGUGAAAAGCCCGCUCGCCGGAAGACCAAGGGUUCCUGUCCAACGUUAAUCGGGGCAGGGUGAGUCGACCCCUAAGGCGAGGCCGAAAGGCGUAGUCGAUGGGAAACGGGUUAAUAUUCCCGUACUUGGUGUUACUGCGAAGGGGGGACGGAGAAGGCUAUGUUGGCCGGGCGACGGUUGUCCCGGUUUAAGCGUGUAGGUGUGUGUUCCAGGUAAAUCCGGUU
rnacentral:rRNA from 1 species